UUUGGUGAAAUGACUCACUAGCGACCCAUUUGCUCUACUCUUCCCCGAAACUCUAUGUCUCUAUCCCUCUCCUCCUCUCUCUCUCUACCUCCUGAUCGAAACAAAACACAAAACUCUAGAAAACGAUUUUCUCUCUCACUCUCUCCCCGUCCUAAUCGACCCAAACCACAAAACCCUAGAAAACAAAUAGAUUUCUUUGUGGUCAGCUCGGAGGUGGACUGGACGGAGCUGUGUGGCCAUGCUUCUAGUAGUGGCCGGAGGACGUGCAGCCUAGCGUUGACUUGUCGAAGGAAGGCAAAGAAGAUGGUGGCUCCGGUGAGUCUACCCUGAUGGUCGGAGAUCGGUGACAGAAGAAACAGAGUCCUCCAGAUCCACUUUCUCUCUCCUCCUUCUCUUUCUCGUCUGUGCUUUAGGGUGGUCCAGUACUGUGGUCCUCUUCGGAUUCGUAUAGAGACGAACGUUUCUCUACCUACUAUACACCGACAUCGACUCAUUUAGCGAAAUCAGAUAUCAAAAUCAAUUGUUUCACACUAUCAAGAGUGUCGAAACUCGAGGCUUUGACGCGAUACUGUGGUAUUUGUCAUGUAAAGAAAUUUCGAAGAAAGAAAAACAAUAGAAGCUCUUGCGUUGUUGGGAUCGAGGGAAGAGAAGAAGAGGUUUUUCAUCGGAGGUGAUGUUUUAUUGAUGUCUGUGGUUUUGUGGUUUUGAAUCGGUGGAUUUUGCUGUGGUUGGGUUUCGAUUGAUCUUGAUUUUUAUGUUUUGUUGAGGUAUUGAUCUUGGUCUUCAGUGGGUGAUUUUUGUUGAGGUUUGGAUGUUCGGUUUUUCUGGAUGUUUGGGUGUUUUCUUUGUGUUUGACUGGUGGUGAUCGUUUUGUUCUUUGUGCAAGUUUUAUGCAAAGGAGUAUUUGGGUUGUUCUUUUGCCGGUGUUCCUGGUUUGGUUAGUUGGUGUUACUUGGUUGUGCUGCUGUGAAUCAGAGAGCGAGAUAGAGAGAUAUUCUCUUUCCCUUCCACUUCUCUCUGCCUUCUCUUUCCCUUCCACUUCUCUCUGCCAUCGUCGGAGACCACCAUUUUUGGCCACCAAUUCACGACACCACCCUUGGAUCAGCUCCUCUGCUCGAAGACGGUAAAUGGAAUCGGAGUUCUGCGGCCUCUGCCUCAGUCUUGGAGAUCGUUGUGUUAUAUUAUAUAUAUGGCUCAAAUUGCCCCCGAUGGAUUAUUGCAAUGGAGGGACAUGCCAGAUCUAAACGACUUGCAUCUUUAGCAUCAUCUCUGGCUGUGGUAAAUUGUAUGCCACCUUACUCUUUCAUGUAGUGUAGCUUAUGGUGAUUUAUGAACUUGAGUGAGCAUGGCCAUUAUCUUUUUUAUUUGUGGGAAAUAUACUAAUUUUUGUCAUUUGCGUUGUUUGUAAGUGAAUUCGUCAUAUAAAAGGGCUACUGUAAAUCUUUUAUCAGAGGGUCUGAACAAAGCAGUAGCAUUAGUUGGGAAAGUGCUAUUCUUCAUUAAGCAUGAAAAUGUUGCUCCACUACCAGCUUGAACAUGAGCUUGGUUUUGCACUCUUGCCAAGUCAAAUUGGAGGAGUUCAGCAAUUGCUUCUCCAUGGCAAAUGGUCGAACACCUUAUAUGCACUUUUUUGGAGCUACUUUGCAGCGAUCAGGGGAGUAAAUCCAGUAGUUCAGCCAUUGAUAGAUUUGAAUAUGAAUGUUCUUGUUUAUAAUGGUGAGAUCUUUGGGGGGAUUGAGAUUGCUAGUGAGGAGAAUGAUGGUGAAGUUCUAAUGGGGUUGCUGGGAGGGUGUGAAAGUUGUGUGCCGAAUGUGGUUUCUAGGAUCAAGGGGCCUUGGGCUAUCAUCUAUUGGCAGGUAACUUUUGAGUGGUAAAUUUCGAUUUAGUGUGAUUGGAAUGUGUUGCACUAUUUGUUUUGCUUUGGAUACUAGUUUGAAUUAUGUCAAAGACGGCUUUGCACUCUUUCUAAUGUUAUUUGUCUUUCUAUGGCAGUUGCUUUAAUUCCUCUAUCUAUUUUUCACCAACAUUUUCGUUCCACUUUUCGUUUUUCUUUUUCAAUUUUCAUUAAUUUUGCUUUAGAUCCAAUAUUAUAUGCUAUCUAUGUCCUAAGUUAUGGAUUUGUGAUCUCGCUUUCAUUUUCAUAUUGUCCAUUUUGGUAUGGUGAACCAGUAAGCAUUUUUACCUUUGGGUGAGAUUUUGGUUUCUCUUUAAUAUGAUUUUUAACUCCUCUGACAGAUUCAAUUUGUUAAUGGACGUGUACCACAAUCUAUAUCAAAAAUACGAGGGUAUUUCCAGCUAAAAACUAUUGUCUAAUAAUUAUUCAUCAUAAAAUGCCUAGCAAAAACUGUUGUAUAAGCUAUCUAACUAUAAUACAUUAAGGACUAAAAGAAUGAGAAAGCCAUUGUCUAGCAAAACAACAGACAACAGUUUUUCGGAAAAACCUAUAAUAUCAAUAAUGGAUAGACAAUUGGAAUUUCAGCUACAUGUUGUCUGACCCAACCUUCAGACAACAACAAGCAUAUAAGCCCCUGUUGUCUGGCACAGCCUUCAGACAACAGCAAGCAUAUAAGCCCCUGUUGUCUGGCACAGAAUUCAGACAACAGCAAGCAUAUAAGCCCCUGUUGUCUGGCACAGAAUUCAGACAACAGUAAGUAUAUAAGCCGCUGUUGUUCUUUGUGGUAUUCAGACAACAGACUGGGUAGUAACUGCUGCUGUACUAAAUUUUAUCAGACGACAGUUUUCUAGUAUUGUCUGAUUAUGUAUCAGACGGCAUUGAGAUAGACAACAGCAAACCUUAUACUCAGACAACAGUGAAAAACUGUCGUCUGAUUGAAAAAUUGGUGUAGUGUAUUAAUUCCUAAAUUUUUCCUGGGAUUAAUAAAGUGUUCGUUUGUACGAUUUCGUGGUUCGAGGGUGGAGUGGAAUUAUUUUCGGACGAAUAAUUAUUCGAAGUGCACGUUUUAGGGGGUUCACAAAGUUUGACUUUUUAUACGUUUAGAUUCUGUGAGAACUUCCUUCACGAAAGUUGUAGAGCGCAUCGACACGAGUUUGUGGACAUGUGGAACGCGAGAAUCGGAGUUCGUAUGAGAAAGUUAUGAGCGAUUGAAAUUUGGGAAAUUUCUAUAAAUAUAAGAAAAUCCGAGAUUUUUUCAUAAAUCCCAAAACUUCCGAAAUUUCCAUUUUCUUCCCCAGAAUUCUCUCUGUUCUCUCUCCUCCGCGCAACCCGACCCGAGGCGAAACCCGGCAUCCCGACCCGACUGGAUCUUUCAUCUCCGGCCACCUCCGGCGACGGGACAAGCCAAUGAACACUCAGACUUGCCUCGCCGACUUCCCUGUGGUGGUGGGUUGAUCGGUGCCUCGCCGGAAGUAGCAGAUCGGAGCGCCCAAAGUUUAUGCUUUCGGGAUCCGACCGGUUUUCCGAUCUCCGGCGACUUCCCGGCCUAUCUCUUCCCGGUUCUGGGAUUGCCUCUUCCUGCUGAUCAUCCCCAUAUAGGCCUUGCAUCUCGAUUUGGGGUGUAGAGCGCUAGCGCAAGGUUUGACUUUUUCGAUGGUCCUGAUUCGAUCUAGGAUCUGAUCAGAUGCACGAGAGUGAUCCAACUUCCAAGCUUGAUCUAGGACGAUCUAUACUGAAUCUCACUUUGCUCCAGGUGAUUGAUGGUUUGAGUUGGCGGACGAUUGUGAAUCGUAUCUUGGCUGUUAGAGAAGACGCAGCAGGAUUUGGAGGGUUUAUUGUGCAGGUUAGAAUAUCGGGUGAUCGUUAUCGAAGCUGAGGUGGACUUUCAGUCACGUGGGUGUAGAAGGGCGCUUAUACUUGUAGUCUUCCGCUGUGUAGUGAGUUGGUGAGAGUGGUUACAUGUUGAAUUGAUAUUCAGUUUAAUUUGUAAACUAUUGUAAUGUAAUAUGUGACUCUAAAGAACGAGUCGGUAUUGACAUUGUGAGUUCAGUUUGUUUGUUGUUUAGUUUAUUUGAAAAAUUUUCUAGGAGUCUUCUUGGGAUUGUUUGUUCUCGCGUUUCGGAUUUGAAUUCCUUUAUUCAAAAUUCGGGGCGUGACAUUCUCAAAAUCUUAAAUUGCCUCUUUUGUUGUCUUUCCCAUCAAGCUUCCACCAACUGUAGCAUCCACCAUACUUAUACUUUGGGAGUUCAGACCUCUAUAAAAAAAUUGAGGCUUUUGGGGUUUAGUAAAUCCAUGGUCAGGACACUUCAAGAA